rnacentral:rRNA from 1 species
GCUAGUAAUCGCGGAUCAGCAAGCCGCGGUGAAUACGUUCCCGGGCCUUGUACACACCGCCCGUCACACCAUGAGAGUCGGGAACACCCGAAGUCCGUAGUCUAACCGCAAGGGGGCGCGGCCGAAGGUGGGUCCGGUAAUUGGGGUGAAGUCGUAACAAGGUACC